AUUGAACGCUGGCGGCGUGCCUAACACAUGCAAGUCGAGCGGCAGCGCGGGAGCAAUCCUGGCGGCGAGCGGCGGACGGGUGAGUAAUGCUUGGGAAUCUGCCUGUUAGUGGGGGACAACCCGGGGAAACUCGGGCUAAUACCGCAUACGCACUACGGUGGAAAGCCGGGGACCGCAAGGCCUGGCGCUAACAGAUGAGCCCAAGUCGGAUUAGCUAGUUGGUAGGGUAACGGCCACCAAGGCGACGAUCCGUAACUGGUCUGAGAGGACGACCAGUCACACCGGAACUGAGACACGGUCCGGACUCCUACGGGAGGCAGCAGUGGGGAAUAUUGGACAAUGGGGAAACCCUGAUCCAGCGACGCCGCGUGGGUGAAGAAGGCCUGCGGGUUGUAAAGCCCUUUCAGUGGGGAAGAAAAGCCUCGACCUAACACGUCGGGUCGUUGACGUAACCCAUAGAAGAAGCACCGGCUAACUCUGUGCCAGCAGCCGCCGC
rnacentral:rRNA from 1 species